GGGGGGUGUUCGGAUCCUGGGCUGUGUCCCCGGUGCCCAGUGCUCCCGGGCCUGUGCUGUUGGUUGGAUUCGCGCUCCAGGUCGCGCAGCUGCCU
rnacentral:pre_miRNA from 1 species